rnacentral:rRNA from 1 species
GCAUAUCAGUAAGCGGAGGAAAAGAAACUAACUAGGAUUCCCUUAGUAACGGCGAGUGAACCGGGAUGAGCUCAAAUUUAAAAUCUGGCGUCUUUCAGGCGUCCGAGUUGUAAUCUAUAGAGGCGUUUUCCGCGCCGGACCGCGUCCAAGUCUCUUGGAAUAGAGUAUCAAAGAGGGUGACAAUCCCGUACUUGACGCGACAACCGGUGCUCUGUGAUACGUUCUCAAUGAGUCGAGUUGUUUGGGAAUGCAGCUCUAAAUGGGUGGUAAAUUCCAUCUAAGGCUAAAUAUUGGCGAGAGACCGAUAGCGAAUAAGUACCGUGAGGGAAAGAUGAAAAGCACUUUGGAAAGAGAGUUAAACAGCACGUGAAAUUGUUAAAAGGGAAACGAUUGAAGUCAGUCGUGUGAAAGGUAUUCAGCCGUCUCUGGCGGUGUAUUUGCCUUUCACGGGUCAACAUCAGUUUGAUCCGGUAGAAAAAGGCGGGAGGAAGGUGGCACCCUCGGGUGUGUUAUAGCCUCCUGUCAUAUGUGCCGGACCAGACUGAGGAACGCAGCUUGCCGCAAGGCCGGGGUUCGCCCACGUACAAGCUUAGGAUGUUGACAUAAUGGCUUUAAACGACCCGUCUUGAAACACGGACC